GUCGAACGAUGAAGCCGCUUCGGUGGUGGAUUAGUGGCGAACGGGUGAGUAACACGUGGGCAAUCUGCCCUUCACUCUGGGACAAGCCCUGGAAACGGGGUCUAAUACCGGAUAACACUCUGUCCCGCAUGGGACGGGGUUAAAAGCUCCGGCGGUGAAGGAUGAGCCCGCGGCCUAUCAGCUUGUUGGUGGGGUAAUGGCCUACCAAGGCGACGACGGGUAGCCGGCCUGAGAGGGCGACCGGCCACACUGGGACUGAGACACGGCCCAGACUCCUACGGGAGGCAGCAGUGGGGAAUAUUGCACAAUGGGCGAAAGCCUGAUGCAGCGACGCCGCGUGAGGGAUGACGGCCUUCGGGUUGUAAACCUCUUUCAGCAGGGAAGAAGCGAAAGUGACGGUACCUGCAGAAGAAGCGCCGGCUAACUACGUGCCAGCAGCCGCGGUAAUACGUAGGGCGCAAGCGUUGUCCGGAAUUAUUGGGCGUAAAGAGCUCGUAGGCGGCUUGUCACGUCGGAUGUGAAAGCCCGGGGCUUAACCCCGGGUCUGCAUUCGAUACGGGCUAGCUAGAGUGUGGUAGGGGAGAUCGGAAUUCCUGGUGUAGCGGUGAAAUGCGCAGAUAUCAGGAGGAACACCGGUGGCGAAGGCGGAUCUCUGGGCCAUUACUGACGCUGAGGAGCGAAAGCGUGGGGAGCGAACAGGAUUAGAUACCCUGGUAGUCCACGCCGUAAACGUUGGGAACUAGGUGUUGGCGACAUUCCACGUCGUCGGUGCCGCAGCUAACG
rnacentral:rRNA from 1 species